rnacentral:rRNA from 1 species
UACAGGGGGGGCAAGCGUUGUUCGGAAUUACUGGGCGUAAAGGGCUUGUAGGUGGCCAACUAAGUCCGACGUGAAAUCCCUAGGCUUAACCUAGGAACUGCGUCGGAUACUGGAUGGCUUGAAUCCGGGAGAGGGAUGCGGAAUUCCAGGUGUAGCGGUGAAAUGCGUAGAUAUCUGGAGGAACACCGGCGGCGAAGGCGGCUCACUGGUCCGAUACUGACGCUGAGGUGCGAAAGCGUGGGGAGCAAACAGG